GGGCGAAAGAGUUCAAUAUGAUUAAAAUAAACCAAGCAAUAAAUAAGUAAAGAGAUGAAGUCACAUGAAAGCCAGCCUGUAAACAUGUGUUCUAAGAAGAGAUUCCUGAGACAUUACUGAUUAUGUCAGUGGUAUCUCCUCCAUCAAGUCGUUCCAAAGCAAACAGCCGUAACAGCAGAAGCCCAAUGGUCUUAAUAAGAACAGCGACCGGUCGACUCACUACUCAGGAAACCGAGAGAUGGGUUUUAUUCUUUAUGCGUAGUUGAGGACAAGCAAGGUUCACUCCACAAAAUUGGUGGAAGGCAAAUGUACAAACCGGGUCAGGCAGAGACAGAUUUAAGCCCAAUCCCAAUCUCCAUGCUCACCCCUGAACCCUCAGGGACUUAAGUGACGUCACCUGGUAAGUGUUCGAGUGUGAGUCUGAGGGCUUUAAAUUGUGUAAACAUGAGUGGGACAGCACUUUGCUGCCACAUGUCACGUCACCCAGACAGUCAAAUAUAUGUGUGUGUAUAUAUGAUUUAUAAUUGAGUGUUUCAAGCUCCUUCCUCAUAAAAUGAAAGGUCAUAGUUGGUUAGUGUUUUUGUUUAUUUUUUAUCAUGAACAGAUGAAUGAAUCAGGUUGCAUAUGUUUUAAAUGUAUACAUUUUAUGACACUUGUGUCACUUCUUUUUUUUUUAACGUCUUCAUGCUUUCGCUGGUUAUGUUUUUUAACAUCACAUUUCCUUGACCCGUGGGCGGAAUUUGACUUUGCAUGGAAGAAGUGCGUGUUUGCUUGGCGAAUGGUACAAGACAAACCGGCAUUAACCAACAGAGCCGCCACUUAACGCACACAGGGAGGGUGAAUCUACAAGACACAGGUAAGUAAGGCGGCUGCAAUAAGCGCACUAGAAAGACAUGUCAAGAAACUUAAGAGACACGAUUGUCAAAGUAAAACAGGAAUCCCAGUGGAAACUGAAGUAAAUAAGAAAAGGUGCUUAAUUUCCUGAUCGAGCCCUUAAACGCGCGACUUCAGUUGUCAGCUUUGACUUUGAAGCAGCUGGAAGCGGAGAAUCCAGGGCAGCCAGCCUGGUUAGAGCGGGUCAACAUUUCCUUCCUCUUGUGCUUCAAAAGUAAAAUAUUAAAUUGAAUUCUAAAACCAGUGAAACCAGGGAAGUGAAGCCAAGUUUGUUGUGUAACAGGAUGGCACGGAAGAUAGUGAAUAAAUGGCAGCGCAGCAGUCAUGAGGCAGAGGGUGUCUUCGGAGACAUUUUAAUCAACCAAUCAAAGAAACAAAAUUAAUCACUCCGGUAAUUUCCAGCAGCCAGCAAAACCUAAUCACAAUUUAAGUGCCCAGGGCUGCUAUCCGGUUUACCAAGGUCUUCUCCCCAAACUGUCUUUUCUCCCACUACUCCUUUCAUCUUCCUUAUAUAGCCCCUUGACGACAUGAGGUCCAGGUGUGUCUCCUGGCACACCUGAUCUUGAUGAGUUCAAUUUCUGACGCUCAAUUUAGGUGGCCCGCCUUCCCAAUAUAUCUCCCCUCGACCACUCUGCCCCUCAGCUCCUUACAGUUGUCUUUUUUAAAAGAGAGAGAAUCUGUUGAGUUCUAAACCAGUUGCAGGCAAAAGUGGGAAUGUUGGUUGACUCCAGAGUGAAGAGAGUUACGGUAAUCACGUCUUGAAAAGAGUAAUACAUGAAUGACAUUUUCCACGUUAGGAUGUGAGAUAAUUGGUUUGAUUUUGGAGAUUGUUCUUAAAGUAAACUGCCCAAGAUUUAUUUUUGGGACUUAAGUUUUAAAGCUUAAUAUCAAAGUAUAAUCACUCACAAGGGAUGAGGGGAACUUUCAAUGCAUGUGUGUGUGCAUAUGUUUUUAUCUUUGUUGCAUUACUUCUCAAGUGAGACUGAGAGGAAGAAAGUUUUGGGAAUUCCAUAAACGGGCACAAUCAGCCGCAGGGCUUCACAUGAAUAUGCAUGAGCACACAGGGACAACAACCAAGUUGUGUUUAUUUGUAUGCGUGUGUGUGAGGUAAAGCGAGAGCGAUAGAUGAGGUUCUGGUAGAAUAAUUAGUUAUUUGUCAGUUUGGAAAUUGAGGAAGACAGUUGAUGUUUCACACCGUGAGUGACUGAGUGACAGGAAUUGAGAAAAGAAGUGAUGCAAGAAAAAGAAAGCGGGAGUAAAAGAAAACAAUUAGGGUGUGAAAUAAUUCUGCAGGAGAUGAAACGUGUGUGUGUGUGUGUGUGUGUGUGUGUGUGUGUUUUCACAAAAAAAAGGUGCUACCGGAUUAAUCCGAGUUGCUUGGAGCGGUUGUGUGCGUCCAGGAGGAUACUGAUAGAGAUUAAUUGUGUAACUUACAUGUUCACACCGGCCCUUUUAUUCAACCGGAUUAAUUGUGCUUCUCAAAUUUUCUGUGACAUAAGGUACCCGUCUCAACUAAUUACAACAUCAGAAAUAUCAUCAGCUCUAUCAGGUACUAGAAGGCUGGCCUGUCCGCCUGGAGAUGUUGCAUUAACACAGAUUUCCAGCUCCACAGCGACUGAUCACAACACAUCCACAGUCCAUCAUUUGCAGCACAGCCAGGCCUGUCUCAGGAAACAUCCUUAGCUUUUUGACUUUUGAUUCUCUGUUUAACACAG
ensembl:lncRNA